rnacentral:rRNA from 1 species
UACAGAGGGUGCAAGCGUUGUUCGGAAUUAUUGGGCGUAAAGCGCGUGUAGGCGGCAUGGCAAGUCGGGUGUGAAAGCCCUCAGCUUAACUGAGGAAGUGCGCCCGAAACUGCCGUGCUUGAGUGCCGGAGAGGGUGGCGGAAUGGAUGGUGUAGCGGUGAAAUGCAUAGAUACCAUCCAGAACCCCGAUUGCGAAGGCAGCUGCCUAGACUGUAACUGACGCUGAGGCACGAAAGCGUGGGGAGCGAACAGG